rnacentral:rRNA from 1 species
UGUGUGUUAGUGGAAGCGUCUGGAAAGGCGCGCGAUACAGGGUGACAGCCCCGUACACAAAAAUGCACAUGCUGUGAGCUCGAUGAGUAGGGCGGGACACGUGGUAUCCUGUCUGAAUAUGGGGGGACCAUCCUCCAAGGCUAAAUACUCCUGACUGACCGAUAGUGAACCAGUACCGUGAGGGAAAGGCGAAAAGAACCCCGGCGAGGGGAGUGAAAAAGAACCUGAAACCGUGUACGUACAAGCAGUGGGAGCACGCUUAGGCGUGUGACUGCGUACCUUUUGUAUAAUGGGUCAGCGACUUAUAUUCUGUAGCAAGGUUAACCGAAUAGGGGAGCCGAAGGGAAACCGAGUCUUAACUGGGCGUUAAGUUGCAGGGUAUAGACCCGAAACCCGGUGAUCUAGCCAUGGGCAGGUUGAAGGUUGGGUAACACUAACUGGAGGACCGAACCGACUAAUGUUGAAAAAUUAGCGGAUGACUUGUGGCUGGGGGUGAAAGGCCAAUCAAACCGGGAGAUAGCUGGUUCUCCCCGAAAGCUAUUUAGGUAGCGCCUCGUGAAUUCAUCUCCGGGGGUAGAGCACUGUUUCGGCAAGGGGGUCAUCCCGACUUACCAACCCGAUGCAAACUGCGAAUACCGGAGAAUGUUAUCACGGGAGACACACGGCGGGUGCUAACGUCCGUCGUGAAGAGGGAAACAACCCAGACCGCCAGCUAAGGUCCCAAAGUCAUGGUUAAGUGGGAAACGAUGUGGGAAGGCCCAGACAGCCAGGAUGUUGGCUUAGAAGCAGCCAUCAUUUAAAGAAAGCGUAAUAGCUCACUGGUCGAGUCGGCCUGCGCGGAAGAUGUAACGGGGCUAAACCAUGCACCGAAGCUGCGGCAGCGACACUAUGUGUUGUUGGGUAGGGGAGCGUUCUGUAAGCCUGUGAAGGUGUGCUGUGAGGCAUGCUGGAGGUAUCAGAAGUGCGAAUGCUGACAUAAGUAACGAUAAAGCGGGUGAAAAGCCCGCUCGCCGGAAGACCAAGGGUUCCUGUCCAACGUUAAUCGGGGCAGGGUGAGUCGACCCCUAAGGCGAGGCCGAAAGGCGUAGUCGAUGGGAAACAGGUUAAUAUUCCUGUACUUGGUGUUACUGCGAAGGGGGGACGGAGAAGGCUAUGUUGGCCGGGCGACGGUUGUCCCGGUUUAAGCGUGUAGGCUGGUUUUCCAGGCAAAUCCGGAAAAUCAAGGCUGAGGCGUGAUGACGAGGCACUACGGUGCUGAAGCAACAAAUGCCCUGCUUCCAGGAAAAGCCUCUAAGCAUCAGGUAACAUCAAAUCGUACCCCAAACCGACACAGGUGGUCAGGUAGAGAAUACCAAGGCGCUUGAGAGAACUCGGGUGAAGGAACUAGGCAAAAUGGUGCCGUAACUUCGGGAGAAGGCACGCUGAUAUGUAGGUGAAGUCCCUCGCGGAUGGAGCUGAAAUCAGUCGAAGAUACCAGCUGGCUGCAACUGUUUAUUAAAAACACAGCACUGUGCAAACACGAAAGUGGACGUAUACGGUGUGACGCCUGCCCGGUGCCGGAAGGUUAAUUGAUGGGGUUAGCCGCAAGGCGAAGCUCUUGAUCGAAGCCCCGGUAAACGGCGGCCGUAACUAUAACGGUCCUAAGGUAGCGAAAUUCCUUGUCGGGUAAGUUCCGACCUGCACGAAUGGCGUAAUGAUGGCCAGGCUGUCUCCACCCGAGACUCAGUGAAAUUGAACUCGCUGUGAAGAUGCAGUGUACCCGCGGCAAGACGGAAAGACCCCGUGAACCUUUACUAUAGCUUGACACUGAACAUUGAGCCUUGAUGUGUAGGAUAGGUGGGAGGCUUAGAAGUGUGGACGCCAGUCUGCAUGGAGCCGACCUUGAAAUACCACCCUUUAAUGUUUGAUGUUCUAACGUUGACCCGUAAUCCGGGUUGCGGACAGUGUCUGGUGGGUAGUUUGACUGGGGCGGUCUCCUCCUAAAGAGUAACGGAGGAGCACGAAGGUUGGCUAAUCCUGGUCGGACAUCAGGAGGUUAGUGCAAUGGCAUAAGCCAGCUUGACUGCGAGCGUGACGGCGCGAGCAGGUGCGAAAGCAGGUCAUAGUGAUCCGGUGGUUCUGAAUGGAAGGGCCAUCGCUCAACGGAUAAAAGGUACUCCGGGGAUAACAGGCUGAUACCGCCCAAGAGUUCAUAUCGACGGCGGUGUUUGGCACCUCGAUGUCGGCUCAUCACAUCCUGGGGCUGAAGUAGGUCCCAAGGGUAUGGCUGUUCGCCAUUUAAAGUGGUACGCGAGCUGGGUUUAGAACGUCGUGAGACAGUUCGGUCCCUAUCUGCCGUGGGCGCUGGAGAACUGAGGGGGGCUGCUCCUAGUACGAGAGGACCGGAGUGGACGCAUCACUGGUGUUCGGGUUGUCAUGCCAAUGGCACUGCCCGGUAGCUAAAUGCGGAAGAGAUAAGUGCUGAAAGCAUCUAAGCACGAAACUUGCCCCGAGAUGAGUUCUCCCUGACUCCUUGAGAGUCCUGAAGGAACGUUGAAGACGACGACGUUGAUAGGCCGGGUGUGUAAGCGCAGCGAUGCGUUGAGCUAACCGGUACUAAUGAACCGUGAGGCUUAACCUUACAACGCCGAAG